rnacentral:rRNA from 1 species
UAAAGUUGUUGCGGUUAAAAAGCUCGUAGUCGGAGGUGUGUCUCGGACGGUCGGUUCGCCGCUUGUCGGUGCUCAACUGGCCGGUCCGGACGUCCUGCCGGUGGGGCUGUAAAAGGCUCCGUUAUCCUUCUUUGGUCCUCUUCAUUGAGUGCCUUGGUGGGCCGGCACGUUUACUUUGAACAAAUUAGAGUGCUCAAAGCAGGCCGUUGGUCGCCUGAAUACUGUGUGCAUGGAAUAAUAGAAUAGGACCUCGGUUCCAUUUUGUUGGUUUUCAGAACUCGAGGUAAUGAUUAAUAGGGACGGACGGGGGCAUUCGUAUUGCGACGUUAGAGGUGAAAUUCUUGGAUCGUCGCAAGACGAACCGAUGCGAAAGCAUUUGCCAAGAACGUUUUCGUUGAUCAAGAACGAAAGUUAGAGGUUCGAAGGCGAUCAGAUACCGCCCUAGUUCUAACCAUAAACGAUGCCAGCUAGCCAUCCGCCGAAGUUCCUUAUAUGACUCGGCGGGCAGCUUCCGGGAAACCAAAGCUCUUGGGUUCCGGGGGAAGUAUGGUUGCAAAGCU